rnacentral:rRNA from 1 species
CAGUCGCCGCGGGAACACGAAGGGUGCAAGCGUUACUCGGAAUUACUGGGCGUAAAGCGUGCGUAGGCGGUGGUUUAAGUCCGUUGUGAAAGCCCUGGGCUCAACCUGGGAAUUGCAGUGGAUACUGGAUCGCUAGAGUGUGGUAGAGGAUAGUGGAAUUUCCGGUGUAGCAGUGAAAUGCGUAGAGAUCGGAAGGAACAUCUGUGGCGAAGGCGACUAUCUGGGCCAACACUGACACUGAGGCACGAAAGCGUGGGGAGCAAACAGGAUUAGAUACCCCAGUAGUCCCUGUCUCUUAUAA